ensembl:lncRNA
ACACGACUCGUCCCUUAAUUCAUUAACAUAAACACACUGUAAGCAUUCUGGUCAGCAAACCCCCAAGAAACACAUGACUCUCUUUCUCUCUCUCUCUCUCUCUCUCUAACACACCCACACACACGCACGCACACCCACAUACCCACAUACACACACACUUCAGACACUGUCACCAGAGCUCAUAAAUGUAAAAUUUACACUAUCUACAGAACUGUCACCCUGGGAAAACACAUGUGUAGGACGGUGUGUAUAGGCCUACAAGACAUCGCCCCGGAAAAUGUGUCUUCUAGUUUAAACAAAACUCUCGAUUCUUUUAAGCAGCACUUUAAACAUUUUACACCCUAAAGGGUUAGGUUUAGAAGGCAUGUAAUACGCACGUUUCUUAUAAAACACCGUCUUUAAAAUGUUUACCUCCUAAAGGGACCUAUUUAGAAGAGUGUUAGAGGACCUGUAGACUGAACAAAUACUAAGGACAUUACAAUGUGAGUAUCAUUUCACUUACAAUUAAAUUCUACUAAAGCAAUGAAUUUGGGGCAUGUUCUCAAUAGUGAUAUGACCAAUAGUGGACUCGUGUAUAGGCUACACCUGCUAAUACAUUUGAUGGACUAUUUUGCACUACUACACGUAGCUAAUGCUAGUCAUAUUUAGCAGUGUAAUUGGAAUAUCUACUCUUUAGUUUACCGUUGCAGUGGAUAAGAAGGAAAAAGUUUCAUUUGACAAAUCUGCUCAUCUAGAGAGGGCUUUUCAUUUGUGCUAUAGGAAAGAUAAGAAUGAUUACAUUUCUGCUUAUUCAUGUAAACCUCAACUACAUUGUGUAAUCUAAUUUCAUGUAUUGAUACAUUUUUUUAUUUUAUUUUUUAAAAGCUUUUGUCAUUCGCACACGUAGCCUUUUAGCUCCACAGCCUUUGGACUGUGGACAGUUCUAUGAGAGAGAUCAAAGUAGUAGACACAGAGUGUUUAUUUUUGUCUAUAUUGCUCAUUUCAUUCAGUGCUUUAACGUCUAUAAAUCCUGCAGAGAUGUUACGUAUGAGAUUUGUAAUGUAAAUCACACUGGAUUUUACUUACUAUUGUUAUAAAACUUAAAGGCAGUCAUUUUUUUCUGGUUUAAAAGACUGCAUUCUACUGCAGACAAUCUAUAUGGAGAAAUGUAAUUUUAAAAAUGAUUGUCAACUUAACAACUUGUGUUCAUCAUUAUGGUAAUUUAGUACAUAACACUUAAAUUCCUUGUAAAUAAUGUGAAAAUAAAGUGUGUUUGUGUGUGUCAUAUUUUUGUUUGGAUGUCUGUGUGUAAUACACAUGGCCAUUCCAUGUAUAGUAACAUUUGUGUCAGGAAUGUAUGGGAUCCCGAUUUAACAUAACUAGCAACGUUUGUGUCAGGAAUAGAUGGGAACCCGAUUUAACAUAACUAUAUAUAUUUUUACGACCUACCUCAGAGUGUUAGAAAGACCAUGUGUGCAACGUGUGUGGGUGGAAUACACAUGGCCGUACCAGGUAUGGUAACGUUUGUGUCACGAAAUGUAUGUGAUCCAGAUUUAACAUAACUAUAUAUAUUUUUAUGACCUACUACAGAGUGUUAGAAAGAACAUGUGUGCAAUGUGUGUGGGGUGGAAAACACAUGGCCGUACCAUGUAUGGUAACGUUUCUGUCACGUAUGGAUGUGAUCCAGAUUUAACAUAACUAUAAAUAAUUUUAUGAUCAUGACCUUUGUUGUGGAUAAAAAAUGUCAUAAAAUAAAGGGGAGAAGAAGAAAAGACGGGCACCUAGACACAUAGAAGUGGGAUUAGGCGGACAUUGACAAAUUGGAAUUACACUUUAAAGAUCUUUAAGAGCAGUAGUAGUCAAAAAAGUCAAAAAGAGGUAUACGAGCUGAGCUGAGGAGUGCUAAUACACACACACACACACACACACGCUUGUACGGUCAAGGGCGGGCAAGUAGACACAACAUACACACACUCUCUCUUUCUCAUACACACACAUGAAUAACUUUAAUAAUAUCUUAUAGUAAUAGAGAAACUCUAUUAAAAAAAACAGAAUAGGAUAUGCAGGACAGUAGAACUGUAAUGAUAUUAAGAAGUUGGAAGUACAGUAAACCGCUUUUCAAGUAGUAUAAAUAUAUAUAAAAUAAGAAAUAUAGUGCAUAUAUGAAAAUAAAUUAUAAACUAGAAAUACAGGAAAAUGUAAACUUACUCAUGACUCAAAUGGUGAGGGUUCUUGGCUCACAAGGAAGGCCUUAAUUUUAAGAAAGAACCAUGAGGAGCCAGUUAUAAGGGUGGCUGGGUCAAACUGCCCCCCCUCGAGAUAACGAUAAGACCAAGGUCCCUCUAGGUUGUUUAGUCUUGUCCACGGUCUACUCUCUGGGUAAAUGAAAAUGCUGGUUUCUGAUGCCCUAAGGUAACUGAAAAUUCUGGUUUCUGAUGCCCUAGGUAACUGAAAAUUCUGGUUUCUGAUCCUCUGAGUAACUAGAAACUCUGGGUUUUUAUUUUCUGGGCUAUUAGAAAUGCCUGGGUUCUGAUUUUAUGUGUAAAUUAAAACCCCUGGUUUCAAUUCUAUGUGUAAGUGAAAUAGCCCUUUUCUGGAACAUAAGAGUAAGGUAAAUGAGCUCUUUUUUAACCCUAUUGGUAGUGAUAUCAUAGUCUUUUUGAAACAUAUGGGUUAUUUAGUGUGUAAAUACAGUAUAAAUACUGGAGCUUAAGCUCAGGGUAUUGGGAUCACCUCUGAGAAUUCUCAUCGGUGUGGAUCUCGUGUGGUGGAACGGAACAAUAAAGCUGGACCCUUGCUUCUUCUCACUCACGGCUGGUGUAUUUUUUCUAUCUCCAACUGGGCUCAGAGGUAGAUGUAAUGAAGCAACUGUACAUUCAACAUUGCUUACCACCCAGAGUCCCAAGGUGCAUUAGAAAGGUUCCAUCAGAAAGUGUAAAGUCUACGCUUCAAACUUCCUGCUUAAGUCAGUGAAAAGAUUCCUUUGUUAUUGUUUGCUAUCCAUGAUGG